CCUACGGGAGGCUGCAGUGGGGAAUAUUGGACAAUGGGGGGAACCCUGAUCCAGCCAUGCCGCGUGUGUGAAGAAGGCCCUCGGGUUGUAAAGCACUUUCAGUGAGGAAGAACGCCUGGUGGUUAAUACCCAUCAGGAAAGAUAUCACUCACAGAAGAAGCACCGGCUAACUCCGUGCCAGCAGCCGCGGUAAUACGGAGGGUGCGAGCGUUAAUCGGAAUUACUGGGCGUAAAGCGCGCGUAGGUGGCUUGAUAAGCCGGUUGUGAAAGCCCCGGGCUCAACCUGGGAACGGCAUCCGGAACUGUCAAGCUAGAGUGCAGGAGAGGAAGGUAGAAUUCCCGGUGUAGCGGUGAAAUGCGUAGAGAUCGGGAGGAAUACCAGUGGCGAAGGCGGCCUUCUGGACUGACACUGACACUGAGGUGCGAAAGCGUGGGUAGCAAACAGGAUUAGAUACCCCAGUAGUC
rnacentral:rRNA from 1 species